UGAGUGUGGGAAUCCUUUGUCAUAGGGUAAAAGUUGCAUACCCCUGGGCUGUAGGCUGCACACCUUGGGUCAAAUAUCAGGUUGUUUUGCCUAUUGAUGGCAGCUGUGGGCAUACAAGCACAACAGACACCUUCUAGAAAUGACCUGAAUGCCUUGGUAACAUUAUUCGUUUGAGUGUCGCUCCUCUUUUUGAAGAGGUUGACGCUGUCUUCAAUGACACACAAAUCAUAAACCUGACA